rnacentral:piRNA from 1 species
UAUACAAGGCAGGACUCUGAUCAUGGUCU